rnacentral:rRNA from 1 species
AUGGCGGGGAAGGGGGAGGAGGUGUACGUGGCGUCGAUCGACCAGGGCACCACCAGCACCAGGUUCAUCAUCUACGACCGCCGGGCCAGCCCCGUCGCCUCCCACCAGCUCGAGUUCAAGCAGCACUACCCGGAGGCUGGAUGGGUCGAGCAUGAUCCUAUGGAGAUCAUCGAGAGCGUGAAGGUCUGCAUGGCAAAGACACUCGAAAAAGCUGCAGCCAAUGGACUUAAUGUGGAUGCUGGUUUGAAGGCCAUUGGAAUCACAAAUCAGAGGGAGACCACCGUUGUGUGGAGCAAAUCCACAGGCCUUCCGCUCUACAAUGCCAUUGUGUGGAUGGAUGUCCGCACAAGCUCUAUUUGCAGGAGACUGGAAAGUGAGCUAUCGGGUGGCAGAACCCACUUUGUGGAGACAUGUGGUUUACCAAUCAGUACCUACUUCAGCGCUCUGAAGUUAUUAUGGUUGAUGGAGAAUGUUGACGCUGUCAAGGACGCAGUCCGCGCUGGUGAUGCAUUAUUUGGCACAAUCGACACCUGGUUGAUCUGGAACCUCACUGGAGGCAUUGGUGGGAAAGACCGUGAUGGAAAGGAGUUAGUUGGGCAGCAUGUCACAGACUGCUCGAACGCAGCACGCACGAUGCUUAUGAAUCUGAAGGCACUUGACUGGGACAAGCCUACACUUGAGGCAUUAGGCAUUCCUGCCGGCAUCUUGCCAAAGAUUAUCAGUAACUCGGAGAAAAUUGGUGUGGUUGCCAGUGGAUUCCCUUUGGCUGGUGUUUCCAUCUCAGGCUGUCUAGGAGAUCAGCAUGCUGCAAUGCUUGGGCAGCUAUGCCAGAAAGGUGAAGCAAAAAGCACCUACGGAACUGGUGCCUUCAUCCUUCUCAACACAGGGGAGGAGGUUACCCAGUCCACCCACGGUCUUCUUAGCACCAUUGCCUACAAGCUUGGCCCAGAUGCACCCACUAAUUAUGCUCUGGAAGGCUCAAUUGCGAUUGCUGGUGCAGCAGUUCAGUGGUUGAGGGACAGCCUUGGAAUCAUUUCCUCAGCAGCAGAAAUUGAAGGGUUGGCUGAAAGUGUGCAGGAUUCAGGUGGCAUAUACUUUGUGCCAGCAUUCAAUGGAUUGUUCGCGCCAUGGUGGAGGGAUGACGCGAGGGGGAUCUGCAUAGGAAUCACAAGGUUCACAAACAAGGGGCACAUUGCCCGAGCAGUGCUCGAGAGUAUGUGCUUUCAGGUGAAUGAUGUCCUCAGCUCUAUGCAUAAGGAUGCCGGAGAGGCAGGAGAAGUGAAGAGUGCAGAAGGGGAGUUCUUGCUGCGUGUCGAUGGUGGUGCUACCAUUAACAACCUUCUCAUGCAGAUUCAGGCUGAUUUGUUGGGCAGCCCUGUCGUCAGACCAGCCGACAUCGAGACAACAGCCCUCGGGGCCGCAUACGCAGCAGGGUUAGCUGCCGGAGUCUGGACGAAGGAGGAAAUAUUCGCAGGCCUGCACAAGGAGAACACGACGGUGUUCCGCCCCAAGUUAGAUGACGCACACAGGAAGAAGAGAGGAGACUCCUGGUACAAGGCGGUGUCAAGGUCAUUUGAUCUGGCCGACCUCUCUCUGUAG